AGUAACUGCCAGAAAGUCAUCAAAUUUUGUCUCAUAUCAUUAAUCACUGAAAGAGAAGGCACAUCCUCAAUCUACUGAAUCCUAUACAUCUUGAGGUGCACUGCUCUAGGAAGACUGACUAUAUGAGGGAUAUUCGGAAAGUCCAGGGAAUUUUCUUCUCAAAUAUGGCAGUGCUGCCGGGUGAGAUGGGAACCGUAUGACAAUGCAGUUCACCGGCCACAGUCUGGGCAACGUUGUGUUCGAAGUUGUUUCAAAAUCCCACCAAAUGUAAGUACUGGGAGCUACCAACAACCCAUAAAUACACGCUAAAGGAGACUGCCUUUCUAACUGAUGCAGCCUGGCAACCAGUUAAGAACCCUGAGGCUUGAACGUCCAGCAAGAGUAAGAUACCUAUCUCAUGAAUUUCACAGAAAGGGACCUGGCAGAAAUAAAGUAGAGGAAGGAAUGAAGAAGGAUGAACAGGAAGGAGGCAGCCAUCUUGAAAACAAAACUGUAAAUUCUUCAUGAAAUGCGCUGGCACCAACUCUGAAAUUUAGUGUGGACUUAUGUCUUUAUUGUUUCUUACUGUCUGGAAUAUCAUCUCUAUUUUGAAAUGAGACACAGCCUGCAGCUGCCGAUAGCACCUGUAUAUACUGGAAGGAAGGUCACAGAGUUCAUGUCACACUCAAAUGAGUACAGUGGUUCUCCUCCUUCCUUAGGUAACCUAUUGGCUCCUGUAGGCUGAAAAGUACAAUUUCUAGUGAUUAGUUGAAUACUUAUAGGACUUAAGCCAGAUGAACAGCCUCUAAGCUAAAUUGGACAUGAAGUAAUUAUAUUUGGCCUCUCUUGAUUGCAAUAGCAAUAUUUGUACACACCCCCAUCCAUUCUGCAUUCAACUCUGAAAAUUGGCCAGUGAACAGUGUGACAUGUGUCCUUUCAAGAGAAGAAAGAAACCUUUGUUCAUUGGUAGGCCAGUAUGGAAAGCUGUAAAAUUAUACAAGCAACAGAAUCUGAUGUACAGUCUACUGCAAAUCAUUGUCAAGCACCACUGAUAUAUUACUGAAACACAUGUAAUGGGUUCUAAAAGUCCUGUGUUAAAUCCACAUGCAGAUGAUUAAGAGUCUUCUGUAGGUACGAAGGCAAAUCGAAAAGUCUUUCCCCCAAUAUUUCUUCAGCCACAAUAAUACACAAACAGGGAAAUCAAAAUACAGGCAG